GGGUGCGAUCAUACCAGCACUAAUGCACCGGAUCUCAUCAGAACUACGGAGUUAAGCGUGCUUGGGCGAGAGUAAUACUAGGAUGGGUGACCUAUGGGUGUCCUUUUGGGAAGUCCUCGUGUUGCACCCC
rfam:Corchorus capsularis cultivar CVL-1 contig06610, whole genome shotgun sequence.